GACAGAGGAUGCAAGCGUUAUCCGGAAUGAUUGGGCGUAAAGCGUCUGUAGGUGGCUUUUUAAGUCCGCCGUCAAAUCCCAGGGCUCAACCCUGGACAGGCGGUGGAAACUACCAAGCUGGAGUACGGUAGGGGCAGAGGGAAUUUCCGGUGGAGCGGUGAAAUGCGUAGAUAUCGGAAGGAACGCCGGUGGCGAAAGCGGUCUGCUGGACCUCUUCUGACGCUGAGGCGCGAAAGCCAGGGGAGCAAACGGG
rnacentral:rRNA from 1 species